rnacentral:lncRNA from 1 species
CCUCACAUUGCUUAAUAAAUAAUAUUUGUUAGCAGGUCAUUGCCUGAUAAGCUAAGAGUGUGAAGCGAAGUCACCACAGUCAAAGGAGCCUGGCAUUGCCUAUAAACGCCAUGGAAACACAUGCAGGAGCAUACACAGAUAUGCUCAUAAAUGCCUUAGGUACACCUCACUAGUACCUGUGGUUUUCUCCUACAACACACAUCAGCCACUAAAGGGCUCCAAAACUCAGCUUGAGGACACGUUGCCUUCUUCUUUCUGUUUUGCAAGGACAAAUCUGACAGAAACGUAGAAUCUGUGUAGAUAUUUAAACAGCCCAGGCGACAGGGAAAGCCUUCAGCCCGACCAUGAAGGAUAGACUUUACGACAACAUCCACUAUACAGAUGAGCCCUCAAAUUAGUGCAGGAGCCACGAGUCCCGGGGCUCGAGGAGAGAGGCGGCCACCGCUCUACCUCUGCCACCGGCCGCACCGCCAGGGGCAUCCAUCACAAAGCUGUCUGCUGCUUUCACAACCAAAGUCUUCGGAGCAUUUAAGACAGUGGUCUAUAUUUCACCCUGUAUGUGGUUCCUCUUCAUCCAAAGUAGAACAAAACGCUAAGACAAUACUUAGAUUAAAAUGGUGUAAAUGCCAAGACCUCAUGUGCGACCCCACAGACAGUUGAACGUAAACACCGCGUUCAUGAGGCACCCGCCUAUCCCAGUCACCUACACGCAUCCACCUGGGAGCUUCUGGAGGUAAGUGGCCUGGAUCCCACUCACAGAAAGUGUACUGAAGUUGUUCGGUAAGGCAUGAAGGUGAGGGAUGGAAGGAAGGAAUGACCCAGGCUGCACUGUGAAUGAGCUUGGGGUGUAGGGCAGUUACUGGAGAGCUUCUAAGGCUGUCACUUUUUCCGCCCCUCUGCUCCAGUAGAAAUGCCCUGUAAAAAAGAGAUCUGUGAAACUCGCUAAACACCACUUUGGAAAUGGACUCUGCCAUCCUGUAAUUUCAUUCACACCUUCUCGUCAAGUGGCAAAAUGCCUUUUCUCACCACCCAUAAAAACUUUUAAUGUUCAAUGAAACUUGAAAAGUAGAAAGUGGGAAAAAAGUCGAAAGGUGCUCAAUUUUCCCUUUGUGGGUCUUCUUUACAGUCUUUUUCAAAGGGUGUAGAGACAGCCACAGGCAUACACACUGUUUUACGGGGGCACAGGAGAGGAGAGGCCCCAUCGGGAGACCACUCAAGUUACAAUUAACAAAGGGUAGGAGGUUUUGCUGGAGGCAUCAGGAUUUAUACUUAUGAAGAUAAUUGCUAAGCAAAUCGGGGCCAUUGUUAGCCAAAACUUCCCCUCCUUUUCAAAGUCUCUAUUUUUUUUUUUUAAAUGAAAUCGUGUUGCUGAAGGGUUGCAAUCUUUCGAUUCUUCAGCAAUCUUUUCUCUUCGCUUUUUGCCUAAACCAAUCCCAUCUUCUCAGCCUUCACAGGACAGAAAAACUUACUCUGGACUAGUGUUUUUCAUUUUUAAUUAAUACAUUAUCACGCUUAUCUCAUCUAAUCCUCCCCAUCUCCAUGGACCGAGAAUUGAUUUUUUAAAUGAGGUUCAAGGAAGUUGAGAUAUACCUAAACUGUAGCUGUAGGUACGUAGCCGGGAUCCAAAACCAAAGUUUUCAGAUUCCAAAUAUCAUGGCUU